AAGUGAUUACUCAGUUUGCUUGAUUUGCAUAAAUGGGUCGGUCGCUUCGCGUGUUGCAUGUCAUAAGGGUCCAUUGUGAUUAACACGUGUGUGUAUCUGUGUUCUUGUGUGUAAUUGCUGUGGAAAGUGUACCAAAAUAGAUGCAAGAGUAUGGAGGCUGUUUACCCUGCUGCUGCAUCAGCUCUUACACGAGGAAGACGACGCAAACGCACCGAGCCACGACAGAGACAUCGUACGAUGCCUGUCACAUUUGCUGAAAUUAAGGAAGUUGAUGAGGACAAAGAGGACGAGCAGAUCCCAAUGACAGCUUCCAACAUAUCGAUCCCCAGCGUUGAAGAGCGACGUCGAAAACCUGAUCUCCUAGAUGAAACCCUCGGAAGGCAGUUCACAGAAUUUCGCAACAGGAGAACUCGCAGACGUCGUGACAUCAUCCACGAACCAGAUGAGAUAGAGGAUCACGAAACCAGCGAUCAAAGUGAACCCACAUAGAUCGUCACUAUUGUAUGCGAUGUUUAGAUUGGUGUAUUUAUAUGUGGCCGCUACACGGACUGUCUUUUCGGCUUAUAGAAAUUUUUAUAGGCCUCCUGUUGAACAAAAGAUGUGAAUCUGUUAUCAGUUUCUUCAAUUCCUUUAUCAAGCGUUGAUUGCACAUAGAUAUGCGUGUUAAAGCACGAAGAUGAUCUUGUAGUAUCUGCUUAAACGCGCUGUUUAAAAAUACUUAGCCAGUCAAAUAUCUCUCAAGGAGUUGCACCAGUGUUUUGUAAUGGAGUCGCAAUAACUGUGGAUUCCAUCAAUAAAAAUAAUAAUUUUAUAGUUAUGGCCGUAUAAAAUAUUCUAUCUUAAUGUUUAAAUCGUUAUAUAAUUAUAAUAAUUGUCUUAAACAUUUGAAAUCAUAAAAACUAGCAACCAUUUUGUAGCAAACAGCUGAUCAUAAUCCGCCAUCUUGUUUAGCAAUAGAUUCUGACGUUAGAAUCAGUGAUGCUUUUGGUGAUUUCUUCCCAAGUUUAGGGGGAAAUAUAACGGUUAUUUUAUGUAACUUUUAACGCAUGAUUAAGUUAUAUUAAGCCUAGAGCUCAACUGAAAUAUAAAAAAAUACUCCAACAUGGAUAUUUUAUACUUGAAUAUAUUUUUGAUGUAUACUUAAAGUUACCUCUUGAACCAAGUGUACAACAAAAAUUAGGCGUUUAUAAUCAAUAUUUAGAGAUAUUUGAUUGGGGAAUGUUUUUUCGGAGUUGGCAAAAGUUGAGACGUGGAGAUGGCUAAUGACUCAAUGCAAUAUGUUAUAUAUAAUACUUAUAUUUAUCAAUAAAUGUGGAAUAGGUUUAAGGAACUUUUGUAAUUCAAUUUAUUAAUAAACAUUAGAAAAAAUAA